rnacentral:lncRNA from 1 species
UUCCAUCUCUUCCCAUUUCUUUUUCCUUUUUGCAUCUCCCUCCUCAUUUUUUUCCCUUUUCUACUUCUCCCACUUUUUCCCCUUUUCCAUCUCUCCCUUUCUUUCUCUCCUCCAUCUCUCUCCCUUUUUCCACUUUUUUCCAUCUCUCCCCAUUUUUUCCUUUCUCCAUCUCUCUCCCUUAAUAUUUCCCUUUCCCAUCUCUCCCCAUCUCUCCUCAUUUUUUCCCCUUUUCCAUCUCCCCCUUUUUUCCCUUUUCCAUCUCUCCCCAUUUCUUUUUCCCUUCUCCAUCCCUCCCCAUUUCUUUCCCAUUUCUCUCCCUCUUCCAUCUCUCCAUUUUUUCCCUUCUCCAUCUCUCUCCCUUUAUAUUUCCCUUUUCCAUCUCUCCCCAUUUCUUUUUCCCUUUUCCACCUCUCCCAAUUUUUCCCCUUUUCCAUCUCCCCCUUUCUUUCCCUUUCCAUCUCUCUCUUUAUUUUUCCCUUUUCCAUCUCUCCCCAUUUCUGUUUCCCUCCUCCAUCUCCCUCCAUUUUUUCCCUUUCCCAUUUUUUCCCCAUCUCUCCCCAUUUUUUCCCCCCGGUACCCCUGUCCCCCCAGGUGUCCCGGAUAGCCGCCUACGCCUUCAGCGCCCUCUCCCAGAUCCGCGUGGAUGCGAAAGAAGAGCUGGUUGUACAGUUUGGCAUCCCCUGAGCCCCCCCCGCGGCACCCCCGCCCCGGGGGCUGGCUUUUUUGGUUUGGUUUUGGUUUGGUUUUCCCUCUUUUUGGCUUUAUUUCCCCCCCCCCGUGGCACCUCGCCCUUGUACAGACGCCCGGUUCACCGCUGCCACCCCAAAGCUUCGUCCCCACUGCUUGGGGGGGGGGGGCAGUGGGGAGGGGGCUGCGACCCCCCCACGGCCCCACUGCACCCGGGGAGCCCACAGCAGGGGUCUUGGGGGGGGGGGGGGGGGGGGGGGCACCCCCCCCCGGGGGGGGGGUUUCCCAUCCCCACACACUUGGGGGCUGCCAGCAGGCGCUGUAGGGUGGGGGGCAGCCCCCACAGCUCCCCCAGCCCCACACAUAGGCCGGGUGCAGCCCUCGGCUGGGAGAGGGGCGGUUUGUGGGGUGGAGAUAUGGGGGUGUGGGGUGGGGGGGGGGGUGAGGGGGCCCCCUGCCCAUACACACGCCUUUGCCCCUACCCGUACCCGUAUUGGGGUGUAUGUCCAUAUAUCCACUCCCCUGCCUGUCCCUGUACCCAGACCCAUUCCCUGUACCCAUACCUGUACCCCCUCCCCUGCCUGUACCCUUACCAGUACCCCUGCCCAUACUGGUACCCGUACCCCCUCCCAUACCCAUACCCCUUCCUCUGCCCAUACUCACGUCUGUACACAUGCCUGUACCCAUACCCGUACCCAAUUCCUGCACCAUACCCGUACCUGUACCCAUACCUGUACCCCUACCUGUACCCAUUCCCCAUACCCGUACCCAUACACUUACCCCCUCCCCUACCUGUACCCAUAC